rfam:Gossypium hirsutum cultivar TM-1 chromosome 21, whole genome shotgun sequence
UGUUUAAAAUUCAUCUAUUUGUAUUGUUGAAAACCAGUAUGGUUGACAGAAUAACCAGACAGUGACACGUAGCAUGUCACUUAUACCUCAUGCUGGCGUCCAAUCUAUAACAAUAGAAAUUGAUGAAAUUUUUAAUA